rnacentral:rRNA from 1 species
UGGGGGAUAUUGCACAAUGGGCGAAAGCCUGAUGCAGCGACGCCGCGUGGGGGAUGAAGGCCUUCGUGUUGUAAACUGCUUUUGCUCUGAACAAGGCGCACCAUGGGGUGUGUUGAGUGUAGGGGUUGAUUAGCGCCGGCUAACUACGUGCCAGCAGCCGCGGUAAUACGUAGGGCGCGAGCGUUGUCCGGAAUUAUUGGGCGUAAAGGGCUUGUAGGUGGCUGGUUGCGUCUGUCGUGAAAGCUCAUGGCUUAACUGUGGGUUUGCGGUGGGUACGGGCUGGCUUGAGUGCAGUAGGGGAGGCUGGAAUUCCUGGUGUAGCGGUGGAAUGCGCAGAUAUCAGGAGGAAUACCGGUGGCGAAGGCGGGUCUCUGGGCUGUUACUGACACUGAGGAGCGAAAGCAUGGGGAGCGAACAGG